AUGGGUCUUCCGAGUCCAGGGUGGAGCUCGUGCCUCCGCCAUGGCUCCGUGCUCCUCUUGCCGCUGCUCCUGUCAGCCCUGCUGUGUUCUUCCUGGAGGGCGGCCGCUCAGGCUCAGGCUCCGCCGCCGCCGCCGCAGACCGACCCGACCGAAGCGGCGGCCGUGAACGCGAUACUGGGGAAGCUGGGGCUAGCGGCGCCGGCGUCGUGGAACAUCAGCGGCAACCCCUGCAGCGGCGCCGCCACGGACGACACGCCGCUGGACGACAACCCCAACUUCAACCCGGCCAUCAAGUGCGACUGCACCGACCAGAACGGCACCCUCUGCCACGUCACCAGACUGAAGAUAAACUCGCUGGACGCGGCUGGCCCCAUUCCGGAAGAGUUGCGGAACCUCACCCACCUCAUCAAACUGGACUUCAGGAAAAAUAGCUUGACCGGCCCUUUGCCAGCGUUCAUCGGAGAACUGACUGCGCUGAAGUACAUAACCGUGGGCACCAAUGCAUUAUCCGGACCUGUCCCAAAGGAGCUUUGGAAUCUUACAGAUCUCGUAUCACUUGCAUUGGGCUCAAACCAUUUUAACGGCUCACUUCCAGAUGAGCUGGGAAAAUUGACAAAGCUUCAGCAGCUGUACAUUGAUAGUAAUGACUUCACUGGUUCUCUACCAGCGGCGCUGUCCCAGCUUACAAACCUUUCAACCUUGUGGGCAUCAGACAAUAGUUUCACCGGGCAGAUACCUGAUUUUCUUGGGAGUUUGACCAACAUGACCCAACUGAGGCUCCAAGGGAACUCUUUUCAAGGACCGAUUCCCAGAAGUCUUUCUAAUCUUAUCAAGUUGACAAGCCUGAGAAUAGGCGAUAUUGUAAAUGGAAGCUCUUCAAUGGCGUUUGUCGGAAACAUGAAAUCUUUGGGUGAACUAGUAUUGAGGAACGGCAAGAUAUCUGACACACUUGCAUCAGUAGACUUCUCCAAAUUUGUAAAUCUGACUUUACUGGAUUUGAGUUUUAACAAUAUCACAGGCCAAAUGCCUCGGUCAAUCUUUGAUCUUCCUAUGCUUAGUUAUCUAUUUCUUGGCAAUAAUAGCCUUUCGGGAAGUCUACCAGCCACGAAAUCUCCGCUACUCGCCAAUUUAGAUUUUUCAUACAACCACCUCUCAGGAAGCUUUCCUUCUUGGGUUACCCAGAAAAACCUACAAUUGAAUUUGGUGGCAAAUGACUUUGUGAUCGAUAGCUCCAAUAACAGUGUUUUGCCGUUUGGGUUGAAUUGUCUUCAGCGAAAUACCCCCUGUUCUCUUGGCUCUCCGCACUCUUCCUCCUUAGCGGUGGACUGUGGUGGUAGUAGAACCAUAUCAGGCUCAGACAAUGCCAUGUAUCAGGCUGAUAAUGCCAAUCUUGGUGCUGCAUCAUAUUAUGUUGGGGGUGCACCUAUCUGGGGUGUUAGCAGUAGUGGAAGAUUCAUGGACCCACCCAAUGGAAGUUACAUAAUCUACAGUUCACGCCAAUUUCAGAACACACUAGAUUCUGGACUGUUCCAAACAGCAAGGAUGUCACCAUCGUCUUUGAGAUACUAUGGCCUUGGACUCGAGAAUGGAAACUAUACAGUGACACUUCAGUUUGCAGAGUUUGACUCCCCUGAUCCACAGGCUUGGAAAAGCAGAGCGAGAAGAGUUUUUGAUAUCUAUCUCCAGGGAGAGCGCAGGGAGCAGAACUUCGACAUAAGAAAGGCUGCAGGAGGGAAAUCUUUCGUUGUUGUAAAGAAGCAGUAUGUUGUUCCUGUGGUAAAAAACUUCCUUGAGAUUCAUCUCUUCUGGGCUGGCAAGGGUACUUGCUGCAUUCCUACUCAAGGCUACUAUGGGCCUGCAAUAUCGGCUUUGAGCGCAACCCCAAAUUUCAUCCCUACUGUGCAUUACUCUGUGGACAGCAAGAGCAGCAAUAAAACUGGUGUGAUUGUUGGAGUCGUAAUUGGUGUUGCUGUUUGUUUGCUGGCUGCUCUUGCUGGAGUCUUUGUAUGGAGGCAGAAAAGGAAAAAAAUGUUAUUGGAGUUAGAAGAGCUGUACACUAUAGUUGGAAAACCAAAUGUAUUCAGUUAUAGUGAGCUAAGAUCAGCCACAGAAAAUUUUGAUUCCAGUAACCUACUUGGUGCAGGAGGAUAUGGAUCGGUUUACAAGGGUAAGUUAAGUGAUGGAAGAGUGGUGGCAGUGAAGCAGCUCUCUGAAUCAUCUAAUCAGGGGAAAGUUCAAUUUGCUACAGAAAUAGAGACUAUAUCAAGGGUGCAACACCGUAAUCUCGUGAAGUUGUAUGGCUGCUGCCUCGAGAGCAAGACACCACUGUUGGUUUAUGAGUGCCUGGAGAAUGGAAGCCUUGAUCACGCACUGUUUGCAAAGGGAGGCUUGAACCUAGACUGGCCAAGACGAUUCGAGAUAUGCUUAGGCAUAGCAAGAGGUAUAGCUUAUCUUCACGAGGAGUCGAGCGUCCGCAUUGUGCACAGGGACAUUAAGGCCAGCAAUGUCUUGCUAGAUGCCGAUCUCAACCCAAAGAUCUCGGAUUUCGGGCUUGCCAAGCUUUAUGAUGACAAGAAGACUCAUGUGAGCACAAAAGUUGCAGGCACAUUUGGUUACCUUGCACCUGAGUACGCCAUGAGAGGUCACAUGACUGAGAAGAUUGAUGUUUUUGCAUUCGGCGUGGUAGCGCUGGAGAUUGUUGCUGGUGAAUCAAACCAUCACACCACGCUUGAAGAGGAGACAACUUAUAUAUUUGAAAAGGUGUGGGAUCUUUACGAGAACGGCAACCCCCUGGACUUCGUGGACCCCAAGCUCUCGAAGUUCAAUAGUGAGGAGGUGCUCCGGGUGAUCCGCGUCGCGCUCAUCUGCACCCAGGGAUCGCCCCACCGUCGGCCGUCCAUGUCAAGGGUGGUGUCGAUGCUCACGGGAGACGCCGACUUGGCCGGGGAGGAGGUGAUCAAGCCGAGCUACAUCACGGAGUGGCAGGUCAAGGCCGGGAGCAGCAGCAGCUACACGGGCACGAGCAGCCAGGCCGGCCUGUCGUCAUCGUCGACCACGCAGCAGUCUUCCGGCGGCGGCCAUGCUGCGGGUGGGGAUGCCACGCCGGCGACCGGAAACCCGUCGCCGAUGUUCACCUCCAUCAUCGACGAGGGCAGGUGCACAUCACAUCUAUUUAUACAUCAGAGCUGA
rnacentral:rRNA from 1 species